UCCCACUACCACAUCUGCUCCAACUACAACAACUGCUCGAACUACUACAGCUGCUCCAACGACCACAUCUGCUCCCACAGCAACAGCCUCUCCACCUGCUCCAGCAACCCUAUCUGCAACAAGUUCUCUGACAACAACAGAGCUUCCUACAACAACUGAUCCUCCUACUACGACCCUUACAAUGACCUUUACAACAAUUAUUCCGUCUACAUCAACCCUUCCUGCCACCACAGCUACAACUACUACUACCCCUGAAAAUACAACAGCCAUUCUUACUAUAACUCAUCCUCCAACUACAACAACUCUUCUGUCUAAAACAGACCUUCCUACAACAACUCGUACACCUACAACUAUCCGUAAUGCUACAACGCCAGGCCCCAUUACACCCACCUUUCCACAGUCAACUACAGUAAGCUCUCCAACUGAAGAUGCCACUGCAGCUCCAACAAACCUGACAACAUCAGCAAGACUGGAAAUUACCGUUGAUUCCACGGUUGAUCUUGACAGGGUUACAAUCAUUCCAUUUGUGCAAGAGGCGAACAAACUACUGCUGAAACAUUUGAACGGAACCAUUAAGAUUACAGUGAAAUCCAUCAGGAAAAAAUAACAGCCCCACUGACUACAAAAACCACUCCCACUGCAACAACCCCUCCUGCUACAACAUCUGCUCCUACUACAGCAACCACUGCAACUACAACAUAUCCUCUCAUAACAACAACCACUCCAACCAACAACAACAAGCCCUGGAACAACAACAACCGCCACUCCAAAUACUACAACAGCUGCUCAUACUGAAACCUCUCCAAUGAAAUGGCCGCUUCUUCAACAACAACCACAGCUGCUGUGUUGUUGUAGGUUUUUUGCAGAUCAACUUUAUUAUAGAU